GAGUAUCGUACACUGUAUGUUUAGGUGCCGUUUGUUAUUUUAGGCUGGUGCAUUACGAGGAACUUUUCAUUUGCAUAAUCAUUGGCCCUACUGGUUGCUUGGCAACAGUUGAUUCCAAAUUAUGGUUGUUAUUUAUUAUGAAAUUAUAGUACCGGUUGAAUUUCAGUAACAGUUAGCAUGAAUGCUGGUACUAUUUGAAAUGUUAUGCUUUUAAUUAUGAGGGUAUCUAGAUGUUGUUAAGCACUUGUUUGUGUUUUGUUUUUUGUGUAACACAGGUCAUCCUUUAUAACUUUUGGAUGUCCUAACAGGUAACUUUAACCAGGUUUACUUUGAUUAAUAUAGGCCUUCUUGUGAUAUCCAAGUUCAAAUCACCUUGUCCUUUAAUGGAAAUAAGGUUUCAUUUGGGCAACCUGGUUCAAACCCAAGAUGAGAGAGAGAGAGAGUGGUUGCUGCUGUUAUACUAAAUGUUUGUUUCUGCUUACAUGGAUUUUAGACUCUAGUAUAGGGUUCUCAUAGUCAUUCUUUUAAUUUGCGUUUGCCUGAGUUGAUCCAGUUAUUCUUGCUUUGUAUUUAUGGGCGUUUACAUUAUAAUAAUUUCACUCCUACAUAGUCAUCUUACACAUUCAGGUAUUGACCAUCCAAUCUUUUAUGGUAAUACACUUUACAACGGACAAAUGUCAGCUUUUACCUCAAAAACUAACAAAACAUAAAAGCAAACUUAUAUAAAGUAGAAAUACUGUUGCCUGCAUAUAUAUGGCUUAUUUUGGCUUCAAUAUUGAUUCACUUGCACAUCUACAUGUAUGCAUCAGACUAAAACUCCUUUAUUUUUAAACCAGUUGCAGGUAUGAUAAGAGUUAUGUUUUUCUAAUAUAUUUUAUGGUGAUAUGAUAUUAAACCCCCAUGACGGGUUGGUGCUAGAUUUUCGUAUAUUCAAGACAUAGUUUUUCGAACAGUUUAAUUGAGGUCUGGAGCUGGCAUGUUGGUAACUGUUCGUAGUCCCUUGUUGAUUUUUGUAAUAUCGUCAUUUUCAAUUUUUUGUUUGUUUAAUUUGUUACUUAUUCUGAUAUUGGACUCUUUAUGAUUUUUACUGUGCGUAUUGUUGUGCGUUGCUUCUUCUUCAUUUAGUUGAGAUUUUGAAAAACUUGUUUAACCCCUCGCCAUUUAAGUAUCUGUUCCAAGUCUGGGGCCUCUGGCCUAUGUUAGCUUGGGAUGAACUUUUAUUUUAGAUUUGAGUUUAGUAUGACAUUCAUUAUCACUAAUCAGUGACCUGGUAAAAAAAAAAAAAAAAAAAUCAUUAUGGAUGAAGCCAUUUCUGGUUUUUAGAGGGAUUGCUUCAGAUGCUUGGCCCCAACUGCAGAUGUUUAUCCUGCUAUUACCCCAAGGGAAUUUUUACAGUUAUUUCAGACCUUUAGUAACCGUUUAUUUGUAAGUUCCACACCACCCGUACAUACCAUGUAUCAGAGAGGACAGUCUUUCUUUUUUUCAUGAGUUCGGUUCUCUAGUUGAUUUAUUGAAU
rnacentral:lncRNA from 1 species